CGACKCUCGGCAACGGAUAUCUCGGCUCACGCAUCGAUGAAGAACGUAGCAAAAUGCGAUACUUGGUGUGAAUUGCAGAAUCCCGUGAACCAUCGAGUUUUUGAACGCAAGUUGCGCCCGAAGCCAUUCGGCUGAGGGCACGUCUGCCUGGGCGUCACG
rnacentral:rRNA from 1 species